rnacentral:sRNA from 1 species
CAAUAACAUGAUGGUCAAAGCUCAUGGGAAUUGUGUGCCUUUUUGGCAUGCAAUUUUCGGGAGUUU